rnacentral:piRNA from 2 species
UUCAGGACCAGAAGGCCAAAACAUCUGUCAGC